rnacentral:rRNA from 1 species
AUUGAACGCUAGCGGCAGGCUUUACACAUGCAAGUCGAACGAGUGGCGGACGGGUGAGUAAUGUAUCGGAACGUGCCCAGUAGCGGGGGAUAACUACUCGAAACAGUGGCUAAUACCGCAUACUAUUGGAGCGGCCGAUAUCGGAUUAGCUAGUUGGUGGGGUAAAGGCUCACCAAGGCAACGAUCCCUAGCUGGUUUGCGAGGAUGACCAGCCACACUGGGACUGAGACACGGCCCAGACUCCUACGGGAGGCAGCAGUGGGGAAUAUUGGACAAGGGGGGAAAGCCUGAGGCAGCCAUGCCGCGUGUAUGAGAAGGCCUUAGGGUUGUAAAGUACUUUCGGCAGGGAAGCGGUAUCUGCAGAAUAAGCACCGGCUAACUCCGUGCCAGCAGCCGCGGUAAUAC